rnacentral:rRNA from 1 species
CGAAAGCCUGACGGAGCAACGCCGCGUGGGGGAAGAAGGUUCUUGGAUUGUAAACCCCUUUUCUCAGGGAAGAAACCUGACGGUACCUGAGGAAAAAGCCUCGGCUAACUCCGUGCCAGCAGCCGCGGUAAUACGGAGGAGGCAAGCGUUAUCCGGAAUUACUGGGCGUAAAGCGUCCGUAGGGGGCUCGUCAAGUCUGCUGUCAAAGCUCGGAGCUCAACUCCGACCCGGCAGUGGAAACUGGGGAGCUAGAGGGCGGCAGGGGCAGAAGGAAUUCCCGGUGUAGCGGUGAAAUGCGUAGAUAUCGGGAAGAACACCAGAGGCGAAAGCGCUCUACUGGGUCGCACCUGACCCUCAGGGACGAAAGCUAAGGUAGCG